rnacentral:lncRNA from 1 species
UUUGUGUUUUUGUUUUCUUUUUUUUUUUUGCGUUCUAUUUAUUUUUAGUUUUCAAACAUGUUUAAAAUAUUGUUUCUGUUUUGGUAGGAAGAAGGUACUUUUUCAAUAACCUACUCUCGGGGGAACUGUGUGGCAAUGGAGUGUGUGUGUGUGUGUGUGUGUGUGUGUCUUUCAGAGUUCAGCAGAGACUCUGAAGCAAGGAAAGUGUUUUGUGUUCGUCCCGCUGUGGCCUUGGUCUAGUUGUAGAUUACCACAUCCUGGGUAGUUUUACACACACCAACUUCAUGUGCUGCUGAAGCCAGAGGCUGUGAAUCUGCAGAAAAAGACCUAGUUCUUUUGAGCUCUGGUGAGAGACCCGAUACCCAACCAUUUAUUCCAGCUUUUCGAAUUUGUGCUGGUUGCAGGUUCACAGAGUAUGAAGGCCUCUGGUUCUAUUCAGCUGCCUCCUCUUUCGGCUACGCUGCCUCUCCAGGCGGGAGGACUUGGGGAUCUGCAGAGAAGGGAGCCUUUGCAGGUGUAGUGCUGAAGACCCGUUUACCAGGUUUUUUAAUCUGUGGGCCUCCACUCAGUCAUCGAUGGGAGAAGAUUUCGGUUGGAGCUGCUUUGGCUUACAAAGGUAAUUGUAGCUGUUUGUGGAGAAAGGCUGACCUUAUAACCCCUCACCAAUUUAUCCAGAGACUAAGUACCGUCCUUUGUCGUAUAGCUGCCAUAUACCUUUUUAAUGUGCAUUAUUUCAUAUUUGUUUUUUACCAGGUGAUAUUUAGAGACAAGGAUAAAGUGACAUUGAAUGUAAAAGAAGAAAGUAUUGGUAAAGAAAUAUUCAAGGAGGUGUGUUCAAGUGGAAGGGGACGAGGAUAAACCUGUGGCUGAUUCAUGCCGAUGUUUGGUAGAAAGUAACACAGUAGUGUAAAGCAAUUACCCUUCAAUUAAAAAUAAAUAAAUUUACCAAGAGACA